rnacentral:rRNA from 1 species
GUGGGGAAUAUUGGACAAUGGGGGGAACCCUGAUCCAGCCAUGCCGCGUGUGUGAAGAAGGCCUUUUGGUUGUAAAGCACUUUAAGCGAGGAGGAGGCUACCGAGAUUAAUACUCUUGGAUAGUGGACGUUACUCGCAGAAUAAGCACCGGCUAACGCUGUGCCAGCAGCCGCGGUAAUACAGAGGGUGCAAGCGUUAAUCGGAUUUACUGGGCGUAAAGCGCGCGUAGGUGGCCAAUUAAGUCAAAUGUGAAAUCACCGAGCUUAACUUGGGAAGUGCAGUCGAUACUGGUUGGCUAGAGUAUGGGAGAGGAUGGUAGAAUUCCAGGUGUAGCGGUGAAAUGCGUAGAAAUCUGGAGGAAUACCGAUGGCGAAGGCAGCCAUCUGGCCUAAUACUGACACUGAGGUGCGAAAGCAUGGGGAGCAAACAGGAUUAGAAACCCCAGUAGUCC